AGAGUUUGAUCCUGGCUCAGGAUGAACGCUGGCGGCGUGCCUAAUACAUGCAAGUCGAGCGAACAGACGAGGAGCUUGCUCCUCUGACGUUAGCGGCGGACGGGUGAGUAACACGUGGAUAACCUACCUAUAAGACUGGGAUAACUUCGGGAAACCGGAGCUAAUACCGGAUAAUAUAUUGAACCGCAUGGUUCAAUAGUGAAAGACGGUUUUGCUGUCACUUAUAGAUGGAUCCGCGCCGCAUUACCUAGUUGGUAAGGUAACGGCUUACCAAGGCAACGAUGCGUAGCCGACCUGAGAGGGUGAUCGGCCACACUGGAACUGAGACACGGUCCAGACUCCUACGGGAGGCAGCAGUAGGGAAUCUUCCGCAAUGGGCGAAAGCCUGACGGAGCAACGCCGCGUGAGUGAUGAAGGUCUUCGGAUCGUAAAACUCUGUUAUUAGGGAAGAACAAAUGUGUAAGUAACUAUGCACGUCUUGACGGUACCUAAUCAGAAAGCCACGGCUAACUACGUGCCAGCAGCCGCGGUAAUACAUAGGUGGCAAGCGUUAUCCGGAAUUAUUGGGCGUAAAGCGCGCGUAGGCGGUUUUUUAAGUCUGAUGUGAAAGCCCACGGCUCAACCGUGGAGGGUCAUUGGAAACUGGAAAACUUGAGUGCAGAAGAGGAAAGUGGAAUUCCAUGUGUAGCGGUGAAAUGCGCAGAGAUAUGGAGGAACACCAGUGGCGAAGGCGACUUUCUGGUCUGUAACUGACGCUGAUGUGCGAAAGCGUGGGGAUCAAAACAGGAUUAGAUACCCUGGUAGUCCACGCCGUAAACGAU
rnacentral:rRNA from 1 species